rnacentral:rRNA from 1 species
GGCUUAGAGUUUGAUCAUGGCUCAGGAUGAACGCUGGCGGCGUGCCUAACACAUGCAAGUCGAACGAAGCACUUUCUUUAGAUUCUUCGGAUGAAGAAGACUGUGACUGAGUGGCGGACGGGUGAGUAACGCGUGGGCAACCUGCCCUGUACAGGGGGAUAACAGUUAGAAAUGACUGCUAAUACCGCAUAAGCGCACGGGGACGCAUGUUCUUGUGUGAAAAACUCCGGUGGUACAGGAUGGGCCCGCGUCUGAUUAGGUAGUUGGUGGGGCAGCGGCCUACCAAGCCGACGAUCAGUAGCCGACCUGAGAGGGUGACCGGCCACAUUGGGACUGAGACACGGCCCAAACUCCUACGGGAGGCAGCAGUGGGGAAUAUUGCACAAUGGGGGAAACCCUGAUGCAGCGACGCCGCGUGAAGGAAGAAGUAUUUCGGUAUGUAAACUUCUAUCAGCAGGGAAGAAACUGACGGUACCUGACUAAGAAGCACCGGCUAAAUACGUGCCAGCAGCCGCGGUAAUACGUAUGGUGCAAGCGUUAUCCGGAUUUACUGGGUGUAAAGGGAGCGUAGACGGAGAGGCAAGUCUGAAGUGAAAGCCCGGGGCUCAACCCCGGGACUGCUUUGGAAACUGCAGUUCUAGAGUGCCGGAGAGGUAAGCGGAAUUCCUAGUGUAGCGGUGAAAUGCGUAGAUAUUAGGAGGAACACCAGUGGCGAAAGCGGCUUACUGGACGGUGACUGACGUUGAGGCUCGAAAGCGUGGGGAGCAACAGGAUUAGAUACCCUGGUAGUUCACGCUGUAACGAUGACUACUAGUGUCGGUGAGCAAAGCUCAUCGUGCCGCAGCUAACGCAAUAAGUAGUCACUGGGG